UUUGGUGUUUUUUUGGUCAGCCCCAAAGUUCAUGUUUGUUUUGGCAAUUCGUGUAAAGUUGAGGUUUUUUUUGGCCGAAUUCUCAAUUGAAUAUCCCUUAUAUUUAUUUUACUUUUUUUUUUGAAAAAAAAACGUCGUCUUCCAUUUUUUCUGAUGAGGAUGUGUCUAUAUUUAUUUUACUCUUUACCACAUAGCUUUGCUUAUGUUAGUAAAUACUCCCUCCGUAUACAAAUAUAUAAUGUUUUGGUUUUUUUACUUGUAUACAAAUAUAUGAUGUUUUACUUUUAAUUAAUGCAAUUUGUUUUAAAAAUAAAUUAUAAAU
rnacentral:lncRNA from 1 species